CCUACGGGAGGCAGCAGUGGGGAAUAUUGCGCAAUGGGCGAAAGCCUGACGCAGCGAAGCCGCGUGAGGGAUGAAGGUCUUCGGAUCGUAAACCUCUGUCAGCAGGGAAGAACGGUCACUGUGCUAAUCAGCAGUGAAUUGACGGUACCUGCAAAGGACGCACCGGCUAACUCCGUGCCAGCAGCCGCGGUAAUCCGGAGGGUGCGAGCGUUAAUCGGAAUUACUGGGCGUAAAGCGCUCGUAGGCGGUAUGUCAAGUCAAGGGUGAAAUCCCCGCGCUCAACGUGGGAACUGCCUUUGAAACUGGCAAACUGGAGUGUGUGAGAGGAUAGUGGAAUUCCAGGUGUAGGGGUGAACUCCGUAGAUAUCUGGAGGAACAUCAGUGGUGAAGGCGACUAUCUGGCACAUAACUGACGCUGAGGAGCGAAAGCGUGGGUAGCAAACAGGAUUAGAUACCCUUGUAGUC
rnacentral:rRNA from 1 species